GGCUAACACAUGCAAGCGAGGGCGAUCGGGAGUAGCAAUACGUUGCCGGCGACCGGCGCAAGGGUGCGUAACGCGUGAGCAACAUGCCCGUAUCAGGGGGAUAAUCCAUGGAAACGUGGUCUAAUACCCCAUAGUAAUUAUGUAAGGCAUCUUAUAUAAUUUAAAGCUUUGGUGGAUACGGAUUGGCUCGCGUGACAUUAGCUGGAAUGGUAAGGUAACGGCUUACCAUGGCUACGAUGUCUAGGGGUUCUGAGAGGAAGGUCCCCCACACUGGAACUGAGACACGGUCCAGACUCCUACGGGAGGCAGCAGUGAGGAAUAUUGGACAAUGGAUGGAAAUCUGAUCCAGCCAUGCCGCGUGCCAGGAAGACGGCCCUAUGGGUUGUAAACUGCUUUUGUAUGGGAGCAAUAAGGGCUACGUGUAGUCCGAUGAGAGUACCAUACGAAUAAGCACCGGCUAACUCCGUGCCAGCCGCAGC
rnacentral:rRNA from 1 species